rnacentral:rRNA from 1 species
UACGAAGGGGGCGAGCGUUGUUCGGAUUUACUGGGCGUAAAGGGCGCGUAGGCGGCCCUCCUAGUCGCGUGUGAAAGCCCCGGGCUCAACCUGGGAAUUGCGCGCGAAACGGGGGGGCUUGAGUUCGGGAGAGGAGCGUGGAAUUCCCAGUGUAGAGGUGAAAUUCGUAGAUAUUGGGAAGAACACCGGUGGCGAAAGGCGGGCGAUC